rnacentral:snRNA from 1 species
GUGCUCACUUCGGCAGCACAUAUACUAAAAUUGGAACAAUACAGAGAAGAUUACCAUGGCCCCUGUGCAAGGGUAACAUGCAAAUUCGUGAAGCAUUCCAUAUUUUU